rnacentral:rRNA from 1 species
GAUCAUGGCUCAGGAUGAACGCUAGCGACAGGCUUAACACAUGCAAGUCGAGGGGCAGCAUAAAAGUAGCAAUACUUGGUGGCGACCGGCGCACGGGUGAGUAACGCGUAUGCAACCUACCUAUCAGAGGGAAUAACCCGGCGAAAGUCGGACUAAUACCGCAUAAAACAGGGACACCGCAUGGUGAUAUUUGUUAAAGAAAUUCGCUGAUAGAUGGGCAUGCGUUCCAUUAGGUAGUUGGUGAGGUAACGGCUCACCAAGCCGACGAUGGAUAGGGGAACUGAGAGGUUGGUCCCCCACACUGGUACUGAGACACGGACCAGACUCCUACGGGAGGCAGCAGUGAGGAAUAUUGGUCAAUGGGCGAGAGCCUGAACCAGCCAAGUCGCGUGAAGGGAAAAGAAGGAUCUAUGGUUCGUAAACUUCUUUUGCAGGGGAAUAAAGUGCAGGACGUGUCCUGUUUUGUAUGUACCCUGAGAAUAAGGAUCGGCUAACUCCGUGCCAGCAGCAGC